GUUGCAAGUUGGUAGAUCGCGUCUUGUAUGCUAACUUGCUAACAGCCAUGGAUCUAGCUCAAGUGAAAACAAGGAUGAUGGUUGUUGGAAUAAUUUUUGCAACAGCUGCGUUUCUGAAAGUGAAUGAAGUGUCUGUUUGUUUGAAAUCCGUUUGAAGCCUUUCCCAGCAACAGUCCAUAUGACGCACGCGAAGUAAAGUACAGGAAACAAUAUGUCGGAGUAUCAGGCAGUAUCAAGUGGUCUAUUUUACCAAGCAUUAGCAUCAUCUAAAACUCAAACACUAUUUGAUUUUGCUAAAGAUAGUGUAUGGAAGAAGAUAUGGGAAAGUGUAUUGAUGGAUGCAUGCUGCCAAAAAAAAUUAUAUUAGAUGAAAGGACGACCGAAGAUCUCCGGAUUCAUUCAUUUUCUCCAAUGUUAUGGUAUUUAAAUUAAUAUAUUUCAGUGUAUAUCUGGGCUCCCUUCUUUUCUGUGGCCCCGUUUCCCCUUGACUUGUGAUAAGCCCGUAGGGGGUCAUGCCCCUACUGUGAUCAGCAGUAACGGUUGUGAGUGCGCUGUCCGGAAAGGGGACGUGGGGGUCCCCAUGGUUCGAUGAUAUCAUUGGAGGGCUGUGGGGCUACCCAAAAAUCCGAAUUAACGGUUAAUCGCUCACGUAAAAGCUUGUCCGCAACCUUCGCUCUUCUUCCGGCUUCUCUUAGCCACGCACUGGGUAAUCUCCCCGGUGGGUCAACUGAGGCAGUGUCUCCCCCUG